AUGGCGACCACCGGGAGCACCGCGCUGAGCAUGAAGCUCCUCAUCGACACCAAGGCCCGGCGCGUGCUGUUCGCGGAGGCGAGCAAGGACGUGGUGGACUUCCUCUUCUCCCUCCUCUCCCUGCCGGUCGGCACCGCCGUCAAGCUGCUCGGCAAGGACUCCAUGGUCGGCAGCGUCGGCAGCCUCUACGGAAGCGUCGAGAAGCUCGACGCCACCUACGUCCAGCCCGGCGCCGCCAAGGACGCGCUGCUCCACCCCUCCGUCCUCUCGCCGGCGGUCAGCACCAAGAGCUCCCUCCUAGGCUUGCCGGGGCCGCCGCCUCCACAGCCACAGGCCAAGACGUUCUAUGGGUGCAGCUUGUCCUGCGGCUGUUACAAUAGCGGAUAUGGUAGCGGCCACUCCGGUACAUGCAAAUUCUACAGCUGCCGGACCUACGUGACGGGCAGUUACGGCACCUACUGCCCGUCAUGUGAUAAGCAGAUGACCACGGAGGCGAAGCUCGUGCCGUCGGGCGUGUCCGGAGGCCAGACUGCGCAGGCGGUGGCCGGCGUCAGCGGGAAGGGGUACGUGCAGGGCAUCGUGACUUACACGGUGAUGGACGACCUCACCGUGACGCCCAUGUCCUCCAUCUCCAGCAUCACCCUGCUCAACACAUUCGCCGUCAAGGAUCUCAGCGCGCUCCAGGAGAAGACCGUGCAGCUCGGCUACGACGAGGGUCUGGAGAUCCUGAAGGCGUCGCUGCAGUCCAAGACCGUCCUCACCGACGUUUUUCUGAGCCCCGCCCGCAAGGCUUGA
rnacentral:rRNA from 1 species